UUUUUUUUUUUUUGUCUCAUUUAAAAUUUCCUAGUAUAGUCUCUUCUAGAUGUUAGGUAAUGGAAAAAUAAAGUAAAUUUUGAGUGAAUUAAUUUCAGAUCAAUAUCAUACUAAUUAUAUUUGACUAUUUCUUCCCCUUAUUACUAAAUUACAGUCUUUGCUUUUGUAAACAUCUCUAGGGACACAGAGGAUACUUUUGUCUAUGAAACCCCCCACUACCCAAUUCUACCCCUCAGAACUGUAUGCACAAGGCAUUUUAUAAAAGCUCUAGGCAUUAGCUUGCAUCCUAGUCACUCUAAACUAGAUGAUGAGUAAGAAUAUAUUAUGAGUCUACUGUGAGAGAAAAGAAGGGUGGAUUUGUAUGUUUUAUAUACUAAUUAUGAAUGUAAAAUCUGUCCCUUAGUUUCCCAAUGAAUUAAUAUUUAAUACUGGGCUGCCAUAUAAUGAAGAAGGGGAUAAAAUCUUGCAUUUCUCUUUUUCAUGCAGAAUACUUUGAGAAAAUAUAGCAAAGUCCUAGAGAUCACAGCCCAUUUCCAUUGUGCAUACGAUGAUGAAGGUGGGAAAUUUACAUGUUUGAACUAUGUGAUUUUAGAUAUUAAAUAAUAAUUCUGUGAAUGUAUAGUGUCUCUCUUUAAAAAAAAUAUUUUGCAUCAGAUAAACACAUCUGGUAAUCUUGGCAAAAUAUCCCACCUCUGCUUGUGCCUUGCUAUAAAAUGCAAUUACUUGUGGUUUGGUGUUGAAUUGGUUCAUCGUUACACAUGGUUCAACACUUCAAACAAACAAACACAAACCUUUAGGAAGAUGGAUAGAGUCCCAGGACAAUCUCUUUGUCCUUAAAUGUAACUAAGAGGAAAUUCUUACUGAUGAAUUAGAAACAUCAGAAAUUAUAUUUGAUUUCCCAGGUUUUUUCAUCUUAAAAUAUUAUGAGUUUAAACAAAUAAAUGAGCAUAAUUGACAGGAAAUAUUUUAUAGUGGUCUAUGAAAAACUGAGUCUACAUUUUUUGUGUGACUUAAGGAACUUUAUACAGGGAAUCCUGAAUAUGUUUCACCUAUGGUCUUGUAUAACAUAAGUUCAUAGAUUUCUAUCCAGAGUUGUAGCAACCACUCGAAGUGUCCAUAUAUAACUCAUCCUUAGUACAUCGUUCAACACCCAUUUCCUCACUCUCAUAGCUCAUCACAAACAAGAUUUUUAGAACAUAGUCUGUGAAUAAACAGCUAAAAAACUCCAUGCUUAGUAAACAGAACUUGGCUGUUCAGACAAACAAAUGUAAUAUAGUGAGUUAUCGACCUCCCUUCUUGUAACAUUAGACUCAACCAAUAAAUCAGUGUUUUAACAUAGAUUAUGUAGUAGGUGUAUUAUAAAAAAAACUGCAUCAUUGCAACCUUUCCUAUUUUUUUUAGUAGAUCUGUGAGUUCACAUACCUAAUUUCAGGGAAGCUAAAAAUUUCAAAGGACUAUAUGACUCCUUGCUUACUAAGAUAUGCUCUAACUACCCAUUCUAAAACUAGUACCAUUUAUCAAUAACUUAAUAAUAAAUUCAAGGAAACAAGAGGCAAUGCAAAGUAUUAACUAAAGGCUUUAUCCUAAUGUUAGUGAAACAGAUUAAAGAAAACUUUACUCCAAGUCCUCAUAUUUCUUCUCCCUACAUUGGGAGGUAAAAAAAUUCCUUUGAAUAAUUUAAUUAGUAAGGGAAUUUGUAAAAAAAAGUGUUUUUUUUUAAAUAGGUGGGGGGGUAAUAUGAGGAUACCCCAGCUAUAAUCUUUCAUGUAUAUGAGUUUAUUUUUGCUUUGUAGGACUACAUUCCUUGUCUUAUAUUUUAACUAUUAUGAGUGAAGAUUUAGCACCUAUAUUUGAAGAAGCUCAUCUACACUAAAACCUGUUUAUAAGUAAAUGUACACAAAGAAUGUUAAUAUGAUUUUGCCAGGGAUUGAACCCACAUCCUCAGGGAUACUAGUUGAGCUUAUUAAAAUAUGGAUUUAGUGACCUUUCUCUGGUGAUUCUGAUUUGUAAGGCUGAGAAAGAUUCUGGUCACCUCUAUCUAUUCAAAGCUAUGCAACAGAUUUUGUUGUAAUCUUACUGAUCAAAAAUUUUCAGAAAACAGAAAAUAAUUUUAAUUAAAAUUAUAUUUUCCUGUAAUGGUAUAAAUAAUUCUCACAGUGUCCAUCAAAAGUCUAAUGUAUCAUAAUAACAGCAAACAUAUUAAACACCAUUUUAAAAAAACCUGAUCCGGAGUUACCAUUGUGGCUCAGUGGUUAAUGAAUCUGACUGGGAACUAUGAGAUUGCAGGUUUGAUCCCUGGCCUCUCUCAGUGGACUAAGGAUCUGGCAUUGCUGUGAGCUGUGGUGCAAGUCACCAACUUGGCUUUGAUCCCUCAUUGCUGUGGCUCUGGUGUGGGCCGGUGGCUACAGCUCCGAUUAGACACCUAGCCUGGGAACCUCCAUAUGCCAUGGGUGCAGCUGUAGAAAUGAAAACAAACAAACAAACAAAAAAAAAUUAAACCUGAUUCUUAGAGUGGGGGUAAGGAGACAUUUGAUGACAUCCACUAAGUUCCUGAAUAAAAUACAAACAUACUCAAUGAUAGUUGAAUAUGCCUUCAUGUUGAUAUGUAAAUGUAUAAUAAAUUAUAUACAUUAUUAAUGGAAUAAAAUAAUUGAAAUCAUGUUUUAAUACCAUUCAGAAUAUAAAUUCAUUAGGACUACAUAUUUUUUAAAUCACACAAUAUUAAAAAGGAGUUACAGAUUUUUAAAGAUACUUGUCAGUUUAACUUCACAAAGUUAGCUAAAAAAGGAUUUUCGAGAUCUGUAAUUACAGUUCUUCAAGAUGCAGUGAUCCAUGAAACCAAACUUAGGCAGGAAAAAAGAAAAAGGACACCAAAAUAUAAGAACUAUAACUUAAUUCUGUCCUCCAUCAUUGUUGCUCUGUUCAAACUUAAAAUUUUUAACGUCUCUCAAGAUUCCAGCUCUGUAUGUAGCUCAUAAUACCAAGAUCUUCAGCAUAUUUUUUAAUUUAAUUAUUAUUUUUUAAAAUUUUGGCCAUACUCUUGGCAUGUGGAAGUUCCCAGCCUGUGCCACAGCAGUGACAACACUGGAUCCUUAACCCACUGAGCCACCAGGGAACUCCCAUUUUAAAAAUCAAUGUUUCCCCAAGCUUAGCUUCUUUCAAUUCCUAGAAUUACUUAUAAACAUACAGGCAAGCCAUCUAACCUCAGCUUCUUCUAACACAAUGCCAGACUAUAUUAACAAUCUCUUCAUUUACCUGUAGAGUUUUAAAAUCACAUUUACUUAAAGGAUAGCAUGAAUUUCUCAGAAAUCUCUUUAAGGCAGCCUUCACAUCCUUAUUCCUCAGGCUAUAGAUCAUGGGAUUCAGCAUAGAAAUCACCAGUGUAUAAAACACAGAGGCCAUUUUACCAGUAUCCAAUGAAUGGUUUGUUCGAGGCUGCAAAUACAUGAAAAGGAGGGUUCCACAGAAAACUGACACUGCCCUCAUAUGUGAUGCACAGGUGGAAAAGGCUUUUUUUCCAUCCUUCUGAUAAACGUAUUCUUAGAAUGGACAAAACAUGUUGAAAUAAGACACCAGAACUAUAGUUAUGGAAGAAAUCAAGUUUGUAGCUACAGGUAUAAAUACUACUGUUUCUGGAAAGUAGGUAUUAGAGCAGGAUAAUGCUAACAGAGGGACAUUAUCACAGUAAAAAUGACUGAUUACAUUAGAAGAGCAGUAAGACAGAGAAGACACAAGAUGAAACUACAAUAGCUGUGGAAAAACUGUAGAGUGGGAGGGUAUGUGAGAGAAACUUGCAGAAGGCAGAUCCACUGAGAUAACCACCACCAUGUAGAGCAAAGGGGUACAAAAGGCUCAUAGCAGUCAUAGGCCAAGACAGCUAACAUGAAAACCUCAGCCACAAUGAAAUCUAAGAACCCUCCUAACUAGAUGGCACAUUCGUAGUAAGAGGUGGUGUGCUUUUUACUAAAACAUUGCUGAGCAUUGUCUACCCACCUCUAAUGAAAUUCAGUUUCAGCCUCAUAGAGUUUCUGCAUGGCUGUGGCAGUGAGAUUUAUUGAAGCUUUAUAAACCUUUCAGAGCCUAACUCUGAAGCACAGGUGAUUCUAGCAUCCACAAAUUGCCUUUUGCAUCCUUGGGGAAUAUUUCACCUGGGAUUUACUCCUUAACAAGGUUUCUGUCUAGGAGUUCAUCCAGACACCCCAGCAGUCUUUGGGUAUGUGUGUGUGGUAGUCUGGACCUACAUUACUGAAGUGAGUUCAACUCUGUGACAUCUGAUUAAAGUGUACCUGUUAGAGUGGCUCAUUUGCAUUGAGAUUUGUUAUUGCAAAAAUGUAAUAUUAAAGAUUUAGAAACCAAUAGGUUAGCAGUGAAAAGAGAACAAAGUCCAUCAAUAAAUUGUAUUUUUAUUAUGCCACUAUCUCUGUUGUUUUUUUCUCUGCUUUUACUUCAAAGAAUACAAAAUUAAGAUAGUCAUUAUUUCAAGGAAUGGGGUAAAGUGGAUGUUCAAAGUGUGGAUUUUUUCUCCAAAAAACAAUCCUCAGUAAUAAAAGUAUUAUUUUAAUUUUUCUUCAUAAUUGUCUUUCAAAUGAGAAAAGAUAGACGAUAACUCCAAGAGUCAAACAGAAUGUUUAAAAAUAAAGCCCUUGUGUCAUGUCUAUACAUUUCCUGUCCCACAAAUAAAUUUUUUGCACCCUGAAUAUUUUAGAGAUACAUGUUUACACAUUAAAAGACUAAAAGAAUUAUGGAGAGAAGAACCCACCAUGGAGUAAUUCUCUCUUUGAAGCUUAAGUUCUCUUGGCAAUAAUAAUUAUUUUCCAUCAUAAGAAUUUUUUUUCCUGUAAGGCCUUACAUUUAAAGCUGGAAGUUGAAGCCAAUGGCAAAAUGGCAUGUACAUAAUAUGUAAAUGCAGGCAUAUGGAACAAUAAUAUAUACUUCAUAAGAACAGAGGAAAACAAAACAGAUUCACAUUAAAUAUAUGCGGAUGGAUACCUGGUCAUGGGAGAGAGGACUGAAUAAAUUAAGAUGAAAAAUAUCUGUUACAACCACUAUGGAGAACAGUGUGGAGGUACCUUAGAAAUCUAUACAUGUAUAUCUGGACAAAACUCUCCUUAAAAGAGACACAUGCACCCACAUGUUCAUUGCAGCACUCUUCACAAUAGCCAGGACAUGGAAACAACCCAAAUGUCCAUCGACAGAGGAUUGGAUUCGGAAGAGGUGGUAUAUAGACACAAUGGAAUACU
rnacentral:lncRNA from 1 species